rnacentral:rRNA from 1 species
UGCAAGUCGAGCGGUAGCACAGAGAGCUUGCUCUCGGGUGACGAGCGGCGGACGGGUGAGUAAUGUCUGGGAAACUGCCUGAUGGAGGGGGAUAACUACUGGAAACGGUAGCUAAUACCGCAUAACGUCGCAAGACCAAAGUGGGGGACCUUCGGGCCUCAUGCCAUCAGAUGUGCCCAGAUGGGAUUAGCUAGUAGGUGGGGUAACGGCUCACCUAGGCGACGAUCCCUAGCUGGUCUGAGAGGAUGACCAGCCACACUGGAACUGAGACACGGUCCAGACUCCUACGGGAGGCAGCAGUGGGGAAUAUUGCACAAUGGGCGCAAGCCUGAUGCAGCCAUGCCGCGUGUGUGAAGAAGGCCUUCGGGUUGUAAAGCACUUUCAGCGGGGAGGAAGGCGUUAAGGUUAAUAACCUUGUCGAUUGACGUUACCCGCAGAAGAAGCACCGGCUAACUCCGUGCCAGCAGCCGCGGUAAUACGGAGGGUGCAAGCGUUAAUCGGAAUUACUGGGCGUAAAGCGCACGCAGGCGGUCUGUCAAGUCGGAUGUGAAAUCCCCGGGCUCAACCUGGGAACUGCAUUCGAAACUGGCAGGCUAGAGUCUUGUAGAGGGGGGUAGAAUUCCAGGUGUAGCGGUGAAAUGCGUAGAGAUCUGGAGGAAUACCGGUGGCGAAGGCGGCCCCCUCGACAAAGACUGACGCUCAGGUGCGAAAGCGUGGGGAGCAAACAGGAUUAUAUACCCUG